UACAGAGGUCCCGAGCGUUGUUCGGAUUCACUGGGCGUAAAGGGCGCGUAGGCGGGCGGCCAAGUCAGGGGUGAAAGCCCCCAGCUCAACUGGGGAAGUGCCUUUGAUACUGGUUGUCUCGAGGGAGGUAGGGGCGUGCGGAACUUCCGGUGGAGCGGUGAAAUGCGUAGAUAUCGGAAGGAACGCCGGUGGCGAAAGCGGCGCGCUGGGCCUCUUCUGACGCUGAGGCGCGAAAGCUAGGGGAGCAAACGGG
rnacentral:rRNA from 1 species